UUCCGGUUGAUCCUGCCGGAGGCUACCGCUAUUGGAGUUCGAUUAAGCCAUGCGAGUCGCGAGUCUUAGGGACUCGGCGUACCGCUCAGUAACACGUGGGUAACCUGCCCUAUGCUGGGGGAUAACCUCGGGAAACUGAGAAUAAUACCCCAUAGUUCACCACGCCUGGAACGGUGGGUGGAUCAAAGCUCCGGCGGCAUAGGAUGGGCCUGCGGCGUAUCAGGUUGUAGGGGGUGUAAUGUACCCUCUAGCCCUCUACGCGUACGGGUGUUGAGAGACAUCGCCCGGAGAUGGAUUCUGAGACACGAAUCCAGACCCUACGGGGUGCAGCAGGCGCGAAAACUUGGCAAUGCGAGAAAUCGUGACCAGGGAACUCCAAGUGCAUCGGGUAAGACCGAUGCUUUUCUUGACUCUUCAAAGGUCUUGGAAUAAGGGGUGGGUAAGGACGGUGCCAGCCGCCGCGGUAAUACCGGCGCCCCAAGUGGUAGUCGCUUUUAUUGGGCCUAAAACGUCCGUAGCCGGUCUGGUACAUUCGUGGGUAAAUCAACCAGCUCAACUGGUUGAAUUCUGCGAGCACGGCCAGACUUGGGACCGGGAGAGGUGUGGGGUACUCUCAGGGUAGGGGUAAAAUCCUGUCAUCCUGAGAGGACCACCUGUUGCGAAGGCGCCACACUAGAACGGAUCCGACGGUCAGGGACGAAGCCUAGGGGCACGAACCGGAUUAGAUACCCGGGUAGUCCUAGGUGUAAACGCUGUGGACUUGAUGUUGGGGGCGCUCCGAGCGCACUCAGUGUCGAAGCGAAGGUGAUAAGUCCACUGCCUGGGGAGUACGGUCGCAAGGCUGAAACUUAAAGGAAUUGGCGGGGGAGCACCACAAGGGGUGAAGCCUGCGGUUCAAUUGGAUUCAACGCCGG
rnacentral:rRNA from 1 species